rnacentral:rRNA from 1 species
GGAACGUACCUUUUGGUUCGGAACAACUGAGGGAAACUUCAGCUAAUACCGGAUAAGCCCUUACGGGGAAAGAUUUAUCGCCGAAAGAUCGGCCCGCGUCUGAUUAGCUAGUUGGUGAGGUAAUGGCUCACCAAGGCGACGAUCAGUAGCUGGUCUGAGAGGAUGAUCAGCCACAUUGGGACUGAGACACGGCCCAAACUCCUACGGGAGGCAGCAGUGGGGAAUAUUGGACAAUGGGCGCAAGCCUGAUCCAGCCAUGCCGCGUGAGUGAUGAAGGCCCUAGGGUUGUAAAGCUCUUUUGUGCGGGAAGAUAAUGACGGUACCGCAAGAAUAAGCCCCGGCUAACUUCGUGCCAGCAGCCGCGGUAAUACGAAGGGGGCUAGCGUUGCUCGGAAUCACUGGGCGUAAAGGGUGCGUAGGCGGGUCUUUAAGUCAGGGGUGAAAUCCUGGAGCUCAACUCCAGAACUGCCUUUGAUACUGAAGAUCUUGAGUUCGGGAGAGGUGAGUGGAACUGCGAGUGUAGAGGUG